rnacentral:rRNA from 1 species
AAGGCGCGCGAUACAGGGUGACAGCCCCGUACACAAAAGCGCAUGUGCUGUGAGCUCGAUGAGUAGGGCGGGACACGUGGUAUCCUGUCUGAAUAUGGGGGGACCAUCCUCCAAGGCUAAAUACUCCUGACUGACCGAUAGUGAACCAGUACCGUGAGGGAAAGGCGAAAAGAACCCCGGCGAGGGGAGUGAAAAAGAACCUGAAACCGUGUACGUACAAGCAGUGGGAGCACAGGUUUACCUGUGUGACUGCGUACCUUUUGUAUAAUGGGUCAGCGACUUAUAUUCUGUAGCAAGGUUAACCGUAUAGGGGAGCCGAAGGGAAACCGAGUCUUAACCGGGCGUUAAGUUGCAGGGUAUAGACCCGAAACCCGGUGAUCUAGCCAUGGGCAGGUUGAAGGUUGGGUAACACUAACUGGAGGACCGAACCGACUAAUGUUGAAAAAUUAGCGGAUGACCUGUGGCUGGGGGUGAAAGGCCAAUCAAACCGGGAGAUAGCUGGUUCUCCCCGAAAGCUAUUUAGGUAGCGCCUCGUGAAUUCAUCUCCGGGGGUAGAGCACUGUUUCGGCUAGGGGGCCAUCCCGGCUUACCAACCCGAUGCAAACUGCGAAUACCGGAGAAUGUUAUCACGGGAGACACACGGCGGGUGCUAACGUCCGUCGUGAAGAGGGAAACAACCCAGACCGC